UAUUGUUGUGAAGGGAAACCUUGGACAAGGC
rnacentral:piRNA from 1 species